rnacentral:rRNA from 1 species
GACGAACGCUGGCGGCGUGCCUAAUACAUGCAAGUAGAACGCUGAAGAGAGGAGCUUGCUCUUCUUGGAUGAGUUGCGCACGGGUGAGUAACGCGUAGGUAACCUGCCUUGUAGCGGGGGAUAACUAUUGGAAACGAUAGCUAAUACCGCAUAACAAUGGAUGACACAUGUCAUUUAUUUGAAAGGGGCAAUUGCUCCACUACAAGAUGGACCUGCGUUGUAUUAGCUAGUAGGUGAGGUAACGGCUCACCUAGGCGACGAUACAUAGCCGACCUGAGAGGGUGAUCGGCCACACUGGGACGGAGACACGGCCCAGACUCCUACGGUAGGCAGCAGUAGGGAAUCUUCGGCAAUGGGGGCAACCCUGGCCGAGCAACGCCGCGUGAGUGAAGAAGGUUUUCGGAUCGUAAAGCUCUGUUGUAAGUCAAGAACGGGUGUGAGAGUGGAAAGUGCACACUGUGCCGGUAGCGUACCAGAAAGGGACGGCUACCUCCGU